rnacentral:rRNA from 1 species
AUGCUAUCAACAGUACUCGUGCCACCGCCUGGAAAUUCCGUGCCCCGCCAGGGGCAUUUUAGUCAUUUCACGCGCAGGCAUAUAAAACGCAGCCUCCCCCGUGGAGAAACCCUAGCCGCUGCCUCCGCCCGCACUCGCGCCCCCACCCACCCAGCCUGCUCUCUUUCCCGAUCCCCUCCCUCCUCUUCGUGCCGCCGGCGUCGCGGUGACGCAGAGUGGCCCAGAUGCGGCCACCCCGUGGGCACGACCAUUAGCCGUCGGCGCCAGAGCAGGGGUUCGCGGGGCGUGAGGAUAGGGAGGGCAGAUGCGUGA